rnacentral:rRNA from 1 species
AGCGAACGCUGGCGGUAGGCUUAACACAUGCAAGUCGAACGGCAGCACAGUAAGAGUUUGCUCUUACGGGUGGCGAGUCGCGGACGUGUGAGGUAUGCAUCGUACUCUACUUUUUCGUGGGGGUUAACGUAGGGAAACUUACUCUCAUACCGCAUACGACCUACGGGUGUAAGCAGUGGAUCUUCGCACCUUGCGCGAUUGAAUGCGCGGAUGUGGGAUUGGCUAGUUGGCGGGGUAAAUGCCCACCAAGGCGGCGAUCCGUAGCUGGUCUGAGAGGAGGGUCAGCCACACUGGAACUGAGACACGGACCAGGCUCCUACGGGAGGCAGCAGUGGGGAAUGGUGGACAAUGGUGGCAAGCCUGAUCCAGCCAUACCGCGUGGGUGAAGAAGGCGUUCGGGUUGUAAAGCCCUUUUGUUGGGUAAGAAAAGCAGCAGGUUGAUACCCCGCGGUUCUGACGGUACCCAAUAAAUAAGCACCGGCUAACUACGUG